rnacentral:rRNA from 1 species
CGCGUAGGCGGGGAGGUAAGUCGGGUGUGAAAUCCCUCGGCCCAACCGAGGAACUGCGCCCGAGACUGCUUCUCUUGAGUCCCGGAGAGGAAGAUGGAAUUCCCGGUGUAGCGGUGAAAUGUGUAGAGAUCGGGAGGAACACCGGUGGCGAAGGCGGUCUUCUGGACGGUGACUGACGCUGAGGCGCGAAAGCGUGGGGAGAACA